rnacentral:rRNA from 1 species
GUGCCAGCAGCCGCGGUAAUACGUAGGGUGCAGGCGUUAAUCGGAAUUACUGGGCGUAAAGCGUGCGCAGGCGGCUCCUUAAGUCAGAUGUGAAAUCCCCGGGCUUAACCUGGGAACUGCGUUUGAAACUGGGGAGCUAGAGUGUGGAAGAGGGGGGUGGAAUUCCAGGUGUAGCAGUGAAAUGCGUAGAUAUCUGGAGGAACACCGAUGGCGAAGGCAGCCCCCUGGGCUAACACUGACGCUCAUGCACGAAAGCGUGGGGAGCAAACAGGAGGAUAUACCACCGGAUUAC